rnacentral:rRNA from 1 species
UACGUAGGCAGCGAGCGUUGUUCGGAAUUACUGGGCGUAAAGAGUGUGUAGGCGGUGCUCUAAGUUCGGUGUGAAAUCUCCUGGCUCAACUGGGAGGGUGCGCCGGAAACUGGAGUGCUUGAGCGUGGGAGAGGAAAGCGGAAUUCCUGGUGUAGCGGUGAAAUGCGUAGAUAUCGGAAGGAACACCUGUGGCGAAAGCGGCUCACUGGACCAUAACUGACGCUGAGGCACGAAAGCUAGGGGAGCAAACAGG